rnacentral:hammerhead_ribozyme from 1 species
ACCCAACUGACAAGUCCCAAAUAGGACAAACCGCGCGUCUUGGAU